rnacentral:lncRNA from 1 species
GGAAAAAGAAUGUAAGAUUUUCAUAAGACUACAUCUUAUGUGCUGCCUGAUUUGAGUAUCCACUAGGCUCUCGCGAUUUUCAUAGACAAUCUUAUGACCGUCACUAUAAAUUCAUAUGGUUAUAUCUAAACUUUACUUAUGUAUUUGGUCCACUGUUGAUAGACUAUGGACUUCAUAAGAAAUUCUUAUGGAAUUCAUCUGUAAUUUUUCAAUGGUUUUCGCGUAUGAUGCUAGUGUGAAAUUUUUGACAUUUCGAGAUGGCAAAAGAACGGAUCGAGCAGACAAUUUUAAACGCUCGCUGCUCCAAAUCGCCCCGUAGUUCGUUCCGGUAACUACUUCACAAAGCUGCCACCGCCAAGGCCGCCGCCGCUAUGAGUUUUAUCGCGACCGCCAAGACACAGGUAAUAUCAAUGGCCGUUGGUUCCGCCAACGGCCCUCCCCAGCAUCCUCCAGAAGGAUCCGGAGAAUAGCAUCGGUGAGGACAGUUCCGAGCAGCGGUCGAAGGUUUAAGUUUGAUUGACGCGGUCAUGCCGAAGGUGGUGGCCAUCCGGCAGAACAUGCCGAAUCACCAGCAAAAGACGAUUAAACCGGAGGUUGCGGAAACCAACGGGACGACGAGCAGCGGAAGGAAAUGAAGUUUUGGUUAUAUUACCAUAAUUUAAAAAUAUAUAUACAUUGAAAAUUUAAA